rnacentral:rRNA from 1 species
AGUGAACGCUGGCGGUAGGCCUAACACAUGCAAGUCGAACGGCAGCACAGUAAGAGCUUGCUCUUACGGGUGGCGAGUGGCGGACGGGUGAGGAAUACACCGGAAUCUACUUUUUCGUGGGGGAUAACGUAGGGAAACUUACGCUAAUACCGCAUACGACCUACGGGUGAAAGCAGGGGAUCUUCGGACCUUGCGCGAUUGAAUGAGCCGAUGUCGGAUUAGCUAGUUGGCGGGGUAAAGGCCCACCAAGGCGACGAUCCGUAGCUGGUCUGAGAGGAUGAUCAGCCACACUGGAAUUGAGACACGGUCCAGACUCCUACGGGAGGCAGCAGUGGGGAAUAUUGGACAAUGGGCGCAAGCCUGAUCCAGCCAUACCGCGUGGGUGAAGAAGGCCUUCGGGUUGUAAAGCCCUUUUGUUGGGAAAGAAAAGCAGCAGGUUAAUACCCCGCUGUUCUGACGGUACCCAAAGAAUAAGCACCGGCUAACUUCGUG